CAGCACCUCAAGUGGUCAGGAUGAUUAUUGGGCCUAAAGCAUCCGUAGCCUGCUUUGUAAGUUUUCGGUUAAAUCCAUACGCUCAACGUAUGGGCUGCCGGGAAUACUGCAAAGCUAGGGAGUGGGAGAGGUAGACGGUACUCGGUAGGAAGGGGUAAAAUCCUUUGAUCUAUUGAUGACCACCUGUGGCGAAGGCGGUCUACCAGAACACGUCCGACGGUGAGGGAUGAAAGCUGGGGGAGCAAACCGGAUUAGAUACCCGGGUAGUCCCAGCUGUAAACUAUGCAAACUCGGUGAUGCAUUGGCUUGAUGCCCAAUGCAGUGCCGCAGGGAAGCCGUUAAGUUUGCCGCCUGGGAAGUACGUACGCAAGUAUG
rnacentral:rRNA from 1 species